rnacentral:lncRNA from 1 species
AUCAAUCAUUUCUUUACUAACAAUUUCCACCCUCAUCAUCUCCACCAGCUCAUCGUAUGUGGAGGGAUUCUUGCUGCGCACGUCCCUCCAAAACAAAGUGUUCAUGUUGAGACCACCUUUUAGGGCUGAAAGGGCUUCCCUGUCAGUGACCUGUUCGCAGUAAGUAAUCUCGUCUGUAAACCUGGCGAGAUAGCUUUUCAGCGUCUCUCCAGGGGCCUGCCUCAUGUCUUGCAGGCGUUGGAUUGGCGCCUCUCCUUCCCUGCAUGAGAGGUACUGGUUCAAAAAUGCUUUCUUCAAAUCCGGCCAGCUUCUGAUGCUUAGGGGAGGAAGCCUGCUGUACCACACCUCGACGGCUCCGCCUAGUGUUAAAUGGAAGGCUCUGCACUUUAGAGCAGGUGAGGCUCCCCUAAGACUCAUUUGUGUCAUAUACUUUGUGAGGUGCUUCUCUGGAUCCCCUUUUCCCUCAUACUUGGGGAUCUUAGGGGGCAUGAAAUUAGUUGGCAUUGGGAAGUUUCGGAUUUCCCUUGAGAAAGGGAGGUUAUCGUCAUCGUCGUCAAUCUCAUAAGAUCGACAGGGCCCCUCUAAUCCUUGAUCAUCUUGGAUGACUUGGGGUGGAGGAGGUGCUUUCCCCCGGCUCCCCCAAUCGACUAAGUUUCUCCUCUCCUUCCUAUUACUAGGAGGAGAAGGAACAUACUCUUCUUCUUGGUUUGACCGGACCGACCCUCUUGAAGGACGGACCCUAUUGCUAGGAUCGUUCCCUAUCCAGUCGAAGACGCUUACUGACCUCCGGUCAUCGUGUUCUUGAGGAAAGUUGUCCCCCAAGAGUGGUUCUGAUGGGUGACUCUCCUGCACAUAAGAUGUCGCUUCG